AUUGAACGCUGGCGGCAUGCCUAACACAUGCAAGUCGAACGGCAGCACAGCAGUAGCAAUACUGUGGGUGGCGAGUGGCGGACGGGUGAGGAAUACGUCGGAAUCUGCCCAGUCGUGGGGGAUAACUAGCCGAAAGGUUAGCUAAUACCGCAUACGACCGAGAGGUGAAAGCGGGGGGACCGCAAGGCCUCGCGCGAUUGGAUGAGCCGACGUCGGAUUAGCUAGUUGGCGGGGUAAAGGCCCACCAAGGCGACGAUCCGUAGCUGGUCUGAGAGGAUGAUCAGCCACACUGGAACUGAGACGCGGUCCAGACUCCUACGGGAGGCAGCAGUGGGGAAUAUUGGACAAUGGGCGCAAGCCUGAUCCAGCAAUGCCGCGUGUGUGAAGAAGGCCUCGGGUUGUAAGCGACUUUAUCAGGACGAAAGACGUUGGAUUAAUACUACUGACGUGCUGACGGUACCU
rnacentral:rRNA from 1 species